UACGUAGGGGGCUAGCGUUAUCCGGAUUUACUGGGCGUAAAGGGUGCGUAGGUGGUUUCUUAAGUCAGGAGUGAAAGGCUACGGCUUAACCGUAGUAAGCUCUUGAAACUGGGAAACUUGAGUGCAGGAGAGGAAAGUGGAAUUCCUAGUGUAGCGGUGAAAUGCGUAGAUAUCGGGAGGAACACCAGUGGCGAAGGCGGCCACCUGGACUGUAACUGACACUGAGGCAUGAAAGCGUGGGGAGCAAACAGG
rnacentral:rRNA from 1 species